AUUGAACGCUGGCGGCAUGCUUUACACAUGCAAGUCGAACGGCAGCGCGGGGGCAACCCUGGCGGCGAGUGGCGAACGGGUGAGUAAUAUAUCGGAACGUACCCAGAAGUGGGGGAUAACGUAGCGAAAGUUACGCUAAUACCGCAUACGAUCUACGGAUGAAAGUGGGGGACCUUCGGGCCUCAUGCUUUUGGAGCGGCCGAUAUCUGAUUAGCUAGUUGGUGAGGUAAAGGCUCACCAAGGCGACGAUCAGUAGCUGGUCUGAGAGGACGACCAGCCACACUGGAACUGAGACACGGUCCAGACUCCUACGGGAGGCAGCAGUGGGGAAUUUUGGACAAUGGGGGGCAACCCUGAUCCAGCAAUGCCGCGUGAGUGAAGAA
rnacentral:rRNA from 1 species